rnacentral:rRNA from 1 species
UACAGGGGGUGCAAGCGUUGUUCGGAAUUAUUGGGCGUAAAGCGCGCGCAGGCGGUCCUUUAAGUCUGAUGUGAAAGCCCACGGCUCAACCGUGGAGGGUCAUUGGAAACUGGGGGACUUGAGUACAGAAGAGAAGAGUGGAAUUCCACGUGUAGCGGUGAAAUGCGUAGAGAUGUGGAGGAACACCAGUGGCGAAGGCGACUCUGUGGUCUGUAACUGACGCUGAGGCGCGAAAGCGUGGGGAGCAAACAGG